UACGGGGGGGGGCAAGCGUUGUUCGGAAUUACUGGGCGUAAAGCGUGCGCAGGCGGUCUGUUAAGACCGAUGUGAAAUCCCCGGGCUUAACCUGGGAAACUGCAUUGGUGACUGGCAGGCUUUUGAGUGUGGCAGAGGGAGGUAGAAUUCCACGUGUAGCAGUGAAAAUGCGUAGAGAAUGUGGAGGAAUACCGAUGGCGGAAGGGCAGCCUCCUGGGGCCAAACACUGACCGCUCAUGCACGAAAG
rnacentral:rRNA from 1 species